rnacentral:rRNA from 1 species
UAGCCUGCCUUCCGUCGACAGCCUUGCGCGCGUCCUAUCUAAAAGGGGUGUGUAGAGCUAUGUCGGUCGCCGCGUAGAGCGGCGGCUUCUUCAGGCGUCAAGUAGUUGCGUCAGGCGUCAAGGUAGAGAGACGGUGGAGGGUGGGCGGAAGCGGAACACGCGAUAGCUCGACGAUGUGAAGCCGUUAAGGAGACCCCAUACAACAUCUACCUACAACACCGUGAAAGACUCUUACGUGGAACUCUUCUACCACGUUCCUCUUCGACACUGCUGUUUAGCUAGCGACAUAACAGUCUGGCCUCUGGUUCAAUGUUCUUGAACGUCCAAGAUGUAUUAGUAAAGUAAGGAGUAGUUAAGUCACUCGAUCUUCUCGCCGUAACCGUCUAACUUGACGUUUCCUUAGUUCACCUUUGUGAACGGUUGACCUUACAUGAGAUGGUUCCCGCGGAUGUAUAUCUACUAUGUACACAGAGUUUCUUCAACUUCUUAUGUAUGUCGUAGUGCGGUUAUUGUAUGAGACUUUGGAGUUUGCCCUCCCACCACGAAAUUACCGUCCAACCACAUAUUUGCCUUCCCACCACGAAGUUCUCCAGUCAAUUCGCACCUUUCCCGAAAAAAAGUUCUGGCUCUCCGUAGAGAUGUUCCCACUAGAGUUCCUUACUGUCUUUGAACCACUGUUCUCAUGUUCUCGACUAACUAGGUCACUGUUUACAUACCCUACCCGUCUUUUAGUAGUUUUAAGGCCAGGUACUAGUUAAACUACUAGUUGGACGGACCGUGAUACUGUUUUCUCCGAAUAAGGGCCAAUUUAGUCGGAUGUUUCACCGAGCUCUAUCUUCGUUUCGUGUACUUAGUAAAGCUCCUAACCGUUGUUGCAGUUUAGGACGAUGGCUAUUAGUCCAAAAAAUUACUUUCUUUGAUAUAUACCCCUGAUAGAAAUGGUUUGUUUCAUAACGUGAAAGAGACCUCCAAUUGGUGGUGAUCAAGCGGUUACACUGUUUUUGAUUUUUGCUCUCCGCACCUACAUCUUUGUUCCACUGGAGAAACAAAUUCCAACCUGCUUCUGCUUCCUGAUGAACUUCGACACGUUCCACGAACCUCGACCUUUAAACAUUAAAAAAAGAUUGAGACACCGCGUACUUUAUGUCAUCAGACAGAAAAUAAUAAAAACUCUCUUUAACCGUCACCUCUUACACAUCAAAGUUAUCUUUCUCCGGGACCAGACCAGUACGGUCCGGACUAUGUUUUGCCUUGAUCAGUACUAGUUACCCGUUAGACGGGUCGAGUUAGAUACGAUUGAACACAUUAACAACAUCUACGUAAGUUUAGACUUCAACCACAAUUAACUGAACACAUAAACCACCAAAAAGGA